GCCUGAGCUCAUAGGGAGGGGGACAGGCUCCCUGGGCAUGGAUCCAGGCUCCGGUACUUUCUGUCUGGCCUUUGGGAGUGUUGGGCCUCUGCCUCAGUUUCCACAUAUGUGGAAAAUGGGCAAAAUGCAAGAAGCUGCCUCACUGUGCUGUGACAAGGACUGAUGUGAGAGCGCUCCAGGCUCACAGACCAGAGCUGGGACGUGGGGGCUCUGACACAGAGUGGCUGCACGGGACCUUCACCAUCAUCUCCCUGAGGCCAUGCCCCACAGUGGUUUCCUGGUGUCCUUGACACAGCUCCCAUCUUCUGUGUGCCCACUCAGAGCACUUCUGUCUCCUCUCAGCUUCCAUCUUUCUCCUCUUCGCAUUACCCCAUUUUCCUACAAAAUAUUGGGCUGAGCCUGUGCCUGGCACAUCAUCACUCACAGACGUGAUGCUGAGUGGCUGAGACCGAACAGCAACAAGACCAAGCUCUUUGGGAAAGCCUCAGAGCCCCCAAAGGCUACGUCAGGAGCUGGUGAGGAUCUCUGCCCUUCAGGAGGAAUCCUCGCACAGGAGGAGUCAGGACUGCCAGAUGUCCCCUGCACGCCGGGCGUUCUGGGAUGUGCUCAUUUAUCCUUGGGGUCCUCACCAUCUCUCACGGCGCUGGGAAAGAAUCUCUCUGUGAGGAUGAUUUGUGGAGGAAAAACCUGGCCGAGUUUCACAUGUGAAGGGAUCAGACGUGUCAUCUGUGACAGGGUGGCUGCAGAGGGUUUCAGCUGGAGACAAGCUGUCACCCUCUGGCUUCCCAGGGAAUCCAAUGGCACGGGUGUUUCCCAGGCCUGGGUGUUGCGUCCCGCAGUGGCGUCCUCACCUCUCCCCUCGUUCAUCAGCGUGUUUGCAGCCGCAGCCCCUCAUUUCCUCUCUGAGGAUUGCAGACCAGGGACAGCUCGGCUGAGUGGCUCCUAAAGUUAUGCCACGCGUUUUGCCAAGCGCUGCUCUCCCCUGGUAUCCUGGCGUUUGCCGCUCAGCGACACGGCCUGCAUUGCGUGGGACAGCUCCUCGUCCUGGCCAUCCCAGGGCACCGCCACACCUCUUGGGCCUACCUGGGUCUCCUCUCAGAUGGAGCAAACCCACGCCCACCCAAGUCACGGUGUUUCCAUGGGUGUGUGCCGGGGUGUCUUAUGCGUGCGUGGGGCUAAGUCUGGAAUUUACUCAUUAAAACUUACGAAAUCACUGCGAGUUCACGAUGAGGCUCCGGUGGGAGCGGGCCACAGCAGCCCCGGGCUGGAAGUCAAACAAGGAAGUAGGAUCGUGUUGGAACCUGACGCUUCUGCCGGCGUGCUGGGUGCAGAGAACGGCUCUGAAGAUCAGAGCAAUGGCACAAAAGGGCCAUGGUGACUGUGCAGAGGUCAGGGCUUCAUUCCAGGCCCAGAGGGAAGUAGGUGGGAGUCAGAGCUGCCUUCCCUCGUGGCCCUCUGGCCUUGUCCUGCUGAUGGCAGGGCUGGUGUUAGGGUAGGGGUUGACAUGACACAAAUCCACCCUGGAGCUUAUGAACAUUGCCACGGAGGUUUCUAUGUGAACCACAUUCACAUGUU